GUCUCAUUCGUCUAAUGGAGAGGACCGGGGAUUUCUAAACCUCAGAUACGGGUUCAAGUCCUGUAUGAGACA
rnacentral:tRNA from 1 species